rnacentral:ncRNA from 1 species
CUCAAUAGGGUGAAGCCAGAGAAAACUCAGGUGAAUGCUUGGAGCAAUUCUGACGUGUAAAUCGAUCGUCAAAUUUGG